rnacentral:ribozyme from 1 species
UAUCCCAUUGGUGCUCAAACAGUAUUGAGUACAGCACAGAUAACCCCCUUCACACAUCUUACCUACGCAACCACAUGGUUUUCACUUGCAUUUAUUAUUACUUAUUUUAUUCGGAAAUGGAGAUAGAAUAAGAACAACGAAGAAAAAGAAGAGAA